UGUCUUUCCUUCUUAUUCUGGUUUAGACCUUCCUCGUGGAAGGACGCUUUUAUAAAACCGCAUUGAGCCGCGUCGCGACGAUAACGCCAUCGUUGACAUUGUGCGACAAGAGAGAGGGAGAGAGAGAGAGAGGGUGGAAAAGAGAGAGAGAGAGAGAGAGAGAGAGAGAUAACGCGGUUACGAAUACGUCCAAUAAAAAUUAGGAUAAAAGGUUUUAUUUAUUUGUUUGGUUUCUUUCCUCCUCCUCCCUCUCUCUCCCUCUCUCUCUCUCUCUCUCUCUCUCUCUCUCUCUCUCUCUAAUGUGUUUAUUAUUUAAAAAUUUAACCCGCGCGUGCUGAAGUAUCAAAGAUUAUACCGCAAUAAGUGUCGGUACGAUAUCGAAAAUUUCUUUCUCUUUCUCUCUCUCUUUCUCUACCUCUUCCACAUCUUCCUGUCGCCGCUUGUGUUUCCCUCGAAAGAGCAUAGUUACUGGCUUAUCUCGAGUGUCGGAUAAGUGUCCUCGUCUCUGAAUUCCUGGAAUCGUUUUCAUCAGCUGCCACAGGUGGACUCAUUGAGGAUUUUUGCUAUAGUGGAUACACUUUUUUCGUCUACGACUGAUGUGUUAUGUUAAAUUGUCUCCAGGAGACGCUGACGUAGUUCCAAGGUCGUUCCGAAAAGCCAGCAAGAGGAGAAUGAUCGCAGGGGUUGUUUUAACGGGCACGAUACGCCUUUGGCGCCAUCUCGGGGAAUCGCAAAGGGGUGCGGAAGGGCUACGGGCUUCGUAAAUACCUACUGCCAGCUCGCAUCGGUAAUAUUGUAAGCGGUAAUUUUACUA